UACAGAGGGGGCAAGCGUUGUUCGGAAUUACUGGGCGUAAAGGGCGCGUAGGCGGCCCGCUAAGUCGAACGUGAAAUCCCCGGGCUCAACCCGGGAACUGCGUCCGAUACUGGCGGGCUUGAAUCCGGGAGAGGGAUGCGGAAUUCCAGGUGUAGCGGUGAAAUGCGCAGAUAUCAGGAGGAACACCAAUGGCGAAGGCAGCUCGCUGGGACGUGACUGACGCUGAGACGCGAAAGCGUGGGGAGCAAACAGG
rnacentral:rRNA from 1 species